AUGUUAUUAUUGUUUCUCUUAUGUUACAGUGCCUCGCCCAGAACAGUUUGAUGAAUUGAACAAUGCAGAAAAUAAUGACAUUCUUGAAGCAGUUGACAUCGAUGAACAGAUAAUAAAUCUUAUAUCCCAGAAGCGAGCAUUAUUCGACCAUCGGAUAUCAGCAAGUGAAAGAAGCACUUUAAAAAAAACUGUACUGUGGUAAGAAAUAUGCAAUUCAUUGGGAGGGACAUUGAGCAUAAUCGAAAUUAAAAAAAGAUGACGAUAUCUUCGUGAUUGCUUCAUAAAGGCAAAAAAGAAAAAACGUACUUAUAUUCCAAGUGAGUCUGCUGCUGAAGCAUUAAGUACGAAAAAAAAUUCCUUCAGAUUCUAUGAACAAAUAAAGUUUUUGGAUGAUUUUUUUGAAAAAUCUUCGACAUGUAAUAGUUUGCCAUCAGAUGCACAAAAUAAAGAGGGUACAAGACAGAUGUAAGGUGAAAAUAUUACAGUUGAAGUAAAUGAGUCUCCAAUGUUAGUACCUCAAUCAACAUGCAGCUAUGUAUCAAACUCAUCACUUCUAACGUGUUCUACAGAAAGUGACGAUUGCAGUACAAGUAAAAAAAGGAAACUCAACAAAUCAAACAAAAUGAACGAAGAGUUUCACAAAGCCGUUAUUGCUACAUUACGAGAUACUAAUAAGCAACCUCAUGGAGUUUUUACUCUUACUAGAUGAAGGGUUAAGAAAAAUACGUUAUAGAGAACGAAUAAAACUAGAAAUGAAAUUCCUUGCCAUGCUCACAGAAGAACAAGAUAAAUUAAACGAUCUG